CCCUCACUGGCCAAUCAGAAUGUGUUGUAGGUGUGUUGAGGCAUGACCCCCUCACUGGCCAAUCAGAAUGUGUUGUAGGUGUGUUGAGGCAUGACCCCCUCACUGGCCAAUCAGAAUGUGUUGUAGGUGUGUUGAGGCAUGACCCCCUCACUGGCCAAUCAGAAAGUGUUGUAGGUGUGUUGAGGCAUGACCCCCUCACUGGCCAAUCAGAACGUGUUGUAGGUGUGUUGAGGCAUGACCCCCUCACUGGCCAAUCAGAACGUGUUGUAGGUGUGUUGAGGCAUGACCCCCUCACUGGCCAAUCAGAACGUGUUGUAGGUGUGUUGAGGCAUGACCCCCUCACUGGCCAAUCAGAACGUGUUGUAGGUGUGUUGAGGCAUGACCCCCUCACUGGCCAAUCAGAACGUGUUGUAGGUGUGUUGAGGCAUGACCCCCUCACUGGCCAAUCAGAACGUGCUCCAGGGCUAAAUAUGUGGUUGCUUCAAGUUGGGUAUUUACAGUCUUUUAUAUAUUGCGUUGUCAUCAAC